GUGAGGAAUAUUGGUCAAUGGGCGAGAGCCUGAACCAGCCAUGCCGCGUGCAGGAAGAAUGCCCUAUGGGUUGUAAACUGCUUUUAUUUGGGAAUAAACCUUUCUACGUGUAGAAAGCUGAAGGUACUAAAUGAAUAAGCACCGGCUAACUCCGCGCCAGCAGCCGCGGUAAUACGGAGGGUGCAAGCGUUAUCCGGAAUCAUUGGGUUUAAAUGGUCCGCAGGCGGAUUAAUAAGUCAGUGGUGAAAUCUCAUAGCUUAACUAUGAAACUGCCAUUGAUACUGUUAGUCUUGAAUAUGGUCGAUGUGGGCGGAAUAUGACAUGUAGCGGUGAAAUGCUUAGAUAUGUUAUAGAACACCGAUAGCGAAGGGAGCUCACAAGGCCAUUAUUGACGCUCAUGGACGAAAGCGUGGGGAGCAAACAGGAUUAGAUACCCCAGUAGUCC
rnacentral:rRNA from 1 species